ACCGGUGGAAACGCCGCCUAAUACCCCAUGGCGAUAUAUUGAGGCAUCUUGAUAUAUCUAAAGCUCCGGCGGAGACGGAUUGGCUCGCGUGACAUUAGCUGGACGGCGGGGCAACGGCCCACCGUGGCUACGAUGUCUAGGGGUUCUGAGAGAAAGGUCCCCCACACUGGAACUGAGACACGGUCCAGACUCCUACGGGAGGCAGCAGUGAGGAAUAUUGGUCAAUGGGCGGGAGCCUGAACCAGCCAUGCCGCGUGAAGGCGAGUGCCCUACGGGCGUUAAACUUCUUUUGUGCGGGAGCAAUAAGGGCCACGCGUGGCCCGAUGAGAGUACCGCACGAAUAAGCAUCGGCUAACUCCGUGCCAGCAGCCGCGGUAAUACGGGGGAUGCGAGCGUUAUCCGGAUUUAUUGGGUUUAAAGGGUGCGUAGGCGGUAUUUUAAGUUAGUGGUAAAACGUCGGGGCUUCACCUUGAUUGGCCAUUAAAACUGGAGUACUAGAGUACAGACGAGGUAGGCGGAAUAAGUUAAGUAGCGGUGAAAUGCUUAGAUAUAACUUAGAACCCCGAUAGCGAAGGCAGCUUACCAGACUGUUACUGACGCUGAAGCA
rnacentral:rRNA from 1 species